GAUGGGUAACCAACGAUUUCAUAAAGCACUACAGAAACGUCUUUUACCGUAUAUUCAUUGACUAAAACUCUUAAAGCAUGCCGCUCUGGAUACACCGGGUCUGACUGUAAAUUAUCUUGUCGGUAUCCAGGUUACGGGGUCAGCUUUCAGUUACAAUGUGAAUGUGAGAAGAAUCUUUGUCAUCAUGUAAAGGAUGUGAAAGUAAGCAAUGUCAAGCAGUAAUUUUCUUGUUCAAAUUGACAUUCACAAUAUUGAUGAUAACGAUCUCUUUACGGGUUUGAUCAUAUGAGUAAUAUGGCUAAGAGUUCCAUUUCAAACAGCUAUCACAUAUUUGGUAUACAACUCAUGCAAAUCAAUCUAUCAUAAUUUGCACUUCCUAUAAAAUUUGUAGACUUUUGAAACACCAAUCUAUGAGGUUUAUUUUUGUCAGUGUUACUAUUUCAAAAAACAGUAUCUUAUCAGUUUCAAUUACCAAAUGUAAUCAACUAGUAACCACAGAUAAGACAAUAAAGUGUAGGUUUUGUACUAUAACAGUGCCGCAAAUCAAAAUCAAUAUAAAUUGAACAUAGAAUAUGAAAUUACCAACUGUCAUCUUGCAUUUUGUUUUAUUUCCUGGGUGAGUGUAUAAAUCAUGAGUGUAUUUUUUAUAUUCAUACCAACCAAGUAAAUAAAAAAGUUACAGACUGAUACAAAUUCCAAAUUGAAAUAUAUAAUGUUAAGAAGUAUGUCUAUGGAUUAGAAAUCAGUUUCAUUAACACUAUUGAAUUGAUAUUUCUGUAGCCUACAACCACUGCAGUCAGAGUGAACGUCCCAGAAUAUAUGUUCUAAUGUACAGUACCCUGACACUAGGCGUGGUUUCACUCAUUCAGUUUACAGUUUAUAUUUUCUCUUGUAAUCUAUUAUCAGUAAAUAUUUACAGAAUAAGUCCAA